rnacentral:rRNA from 1 species
GACUAACGCUGGCGUCGUGCUUAACACAUGCAAGUCGAACGGAAAGGCCCCUUUGGGGGUACUCGAGUGGCGAACGGGUGAGUAACACGUGAGUAACCUGCCCUUUACUUCGGGAUAACUUAAGGCUACUGGGGCUAAUACCGGAUAGGAAUUCUUGUUGCAUGGUGGUGGUUGGUAAGCUUCGGCGGUUUUGGAUGGACUCGCGGCUUAGCAGCUUGUUGGUGGGGUAGUGGCUUACCAAGGCUUUGACGGGUAGCCGGCCUUAGAUGGCGACCGGCCACAUUGGGACUGAGAUACGGCCCAGACUCCGACGGGAGGCAGCAGUGGGGAAUAUUGCACAAUGGGCGGAGGCCUGAUGCAGCAACGCCGCGUGCGGGAUGACGGCCUGCGGGUUGUAAACCGCUUUCAGCAGGGGCGAAGCUUGUGGUGACGGUACCUGCAGAAGAAGCACCGGCUAACUACGUG